rnacentral:misc_RNA from 1 species
GAUGAAGAACGCAGCGAAAUGCGAUAAGUAAUGUGAUUUGCAGAAUUCAGUGAAUCAUCGAGUCUUUGAACGCACAUUGCGCCCCCUGGUAUUCCGGGGGGCAUGCCUGUCCGAGCGUCAUUGCUGCCCUCAAGCACGGCUUGUGUGUUGGGCCGUCGUCCCCCUCCUAGGGGACGGGCCCGAAAGGCAGCGGCGGCACCGCGUCCGGUCCUCGAGCGUAUGGGGCUUCGUCACCCGCUCCGUAGGCCCGGCCGGCGCUUGCCGACGACCAUCAAUCUCUUUCUCCAGGUUGACCUCGGAUCAGGUAGGGAUACCCGCUGAACUUAAGCAUAUCAAUAAGCGGAGGA